rnacentral:rRNA from 1 species
AGGACGAACGCUGGCGGCGUGCUUAACACAUGCAAGUCGAACGAUGACGAUGGUGCUUACACCGUCUGAUUAGUGGCGAACGGGUGAGUAACACGUGAGUAACCUGCCCUCCUCUUCGGGAUAACCGCCGGAAACGGUGGCUAAUACCGGAUAUGAAUGCCUGCCGCAUGGUGGGUGUUGGAAAGAUUUAUCGGUGGGGGAUGGACUCGCGGCCUAUCAGUUUGUUGGUGAGGUAAUGGCUCACCAAGGCGAUGACGGGUAGCCGGCCUGAGAGGGCGACCGGCCACACUGGGACUGAGACACGGCCCAGACUCCUACGGGAGGCAGCAGUGGGGAAUAUUGCACAAUGGGCGAAAGCCUGGGUUGCAGCGACGCCGCGUGGGGGAUGACGGCCUUCGGGUUGUAAACCUCUUUCAGUAGGGAAGAAGCGAGAGUGACGGUACCUGCAGAAGAAGCGCCGGCUAACUACGUGCCAGCCGCAGC